AAUUCUCAACCUUUUCAGCUUUUACAAGUUGGAUUGGCUUGGAUGUGGAGGUUUUGCAGGCUUCUUAAGAAGUCAGCUCCUCUUAAAUACAUUAGCGGAACCUUUGUGGACCAGCUUUGGUGUGAUAAUUAUCUACGCCAUGGUUGUAAAGCAGCUUUAUAUGGGGUUCAGCUUCUAACAGUCCAUUUACUUGGACAAUUUCUGACA
rnacentral:misc_RNA from 1 species